CUAAAUUGAACUUUAAUCACAUACAGGAGGCUCUUGCAGGGACUAGCAAGCUAUUAACAUAGCAGGGGAUAAGAAAAUCUUAAUUAAACAGAACUUGCAAUAAAGAAAGCCUAAAUAGGGCUCUCUUUACAGGAAGUGUUUAUGGAAGGCUGUGCAAGUCACAUGCAGGGAGGUGUGACUAGGGUUCAUAAACAAAGGGAUUUAACUCCUAAAUGGCAGAGGAUUGAGCAGUGAGGCUGCAGGGGCAUGUCCUAUACACCAAAACUUCUUUGUUAAGCUAAAGUUGUUCAGGUGACUAUAGUGUCCCUUUAAAC